GUAAUCAGAUCAUACUUAGAUAGUUACUGUAGAGAUGUUUGAAGACAACACAAAUCCAUCAUAUUCAAAUGGUCCGAGAUAUUUCUCUGUGCUAACUGAGAUAAUGCUAGACAGCAUCUUGAUUACUGACCUAGCUUAGUAGGUAUACUGUAAGUUGCCCAGAACAUUGGGCAGUGUUUGAUCCACUUUCAGUUUCUGUGUCAAUUGUUUUGCUUAUUUUUCUGCAUCUCCAUAAUCUAUUAAAAAGUGCGGAAUAGAACAAUUUUUAGAACAUGGCAUACCGAGACAUGACCAUGUAUUGGUGGGGGGAGACUACUGCAGUGUGGAAGAUCUGGACAGGAAUUAGCACUAAGCUGUAUAGCUGUCCUUUGUACAGUGGAGGCAGCAGAGAGGCAUUGGUGGAACAGGAGCAGUUGCCAGGUAAUGGAGAGGCUUAACAAGGAGUUAGCACUUGAGAUAAAGACCGUGAUUAAGAACAGAGUCUUUGUAAUAAGUGACUAUAAAGACAAAGCAGUUAUGGAGUUUACUAUGAGUUGUGCACUUGUGAACAAAGUUCAGUUGAAUGAGUCAAUGGUCGUGGAUCAUAAGCUAAGG